rnacentral:lncRNA from 1 species
UUGGAGUCCCUUCAAUGACGCUUCAGUGUUUUAGUAUUACGGAAUUGAGGUGUCCUUUUACAUUUUUUUUCAAUAAUUGGCUAUCAUUUUUAUUUCUGCAUUUUUUAUCUGCCUUCUUUGUUUCUUUAACCAGACAGUUACUUUUUUGGGGUGGUUGUCCUUAUAUUGGUAUACAAGGAAAAGGCCAAUGCUAGUCUACUAUCAGCAGCUUCUGUGUGGACCUCAGGAUCCUAGUUCAACAGUGGCAGACCACACCACAAGCACUCUACAGCACAACCAACACUACUAGUUCGCACUGGAGAAAUUUGUUUCUGUCUUUGAAUAGGUCGAGCUUAGCUUUGGGUUGUGUUUUGUUGUUUUGUUCAAGUCUGAGUUUAGCCAUGCAACUAAGAUUUAUUCUGUUCAGUUACUUUCUUGAGUGGCUAAAACCUUUAGAUCUGAUGCAUAGCGAUCUAAAGGUUUAUUUAUCCUGAUGCAUAGCGAUCUGUUUUUUUUUCCCAAAAGUGCACCGAAUUUCUUAAGGCUGACAUUCUGAUCAGGCUUUGUUUAUCUCCUCUUUUUUUUCUGCCAUCUUUGUGGGGGUCCCCUUUGCGUUGCGCCGUUGAUCUGCAUGUGGCUGUGAUCUACUGCUGCUGCUGGCUGCAUCCCUCAAUAAUCUAUCUGGGUAAGUCCCACAACAAGUCCCCUCUCCCUCCGCUCCUAAAUAUAACUAUCUACGUCGUGCUUGUCAUGCUUUGCUACUGCUUGCCAGAUUUCAUUUCAUGUUGCAAUAAUAUCUGCUGCUGGCUGCAUCCCUUAAUUUGUCACAU